rnacentral:lncRNA from 1 species
UGGUCUCAGAACACUGAAGCCUCCUCACCACAGAAGUCACCGCAAUUCACCUCUUUCCAUAGCCCACACUUGAGCAAGGAAAAGAUGAACACACUUAACCAGCUUCAUAAAGACUGACAGCUGGAGUUUGUACCUGUGGGUUCUGCAUCCAUGGAUUCAACCAACCAUGGAUCAAAAGUAUCUGGAAAAAAAAUUGCAUCUAUGCUGAACAUGUACAGACUUUUUUCUUGUCAUUGUUCCCUAAAGAAUAUAGUAUAACAACUAUUUACAUAGCAUUUAUAUUUUAUUAGGUAUUAUGAGUAAUCUAGAGAUGAUUUAAAGUAUUCAGGAGAAUAUGCAUAGGUUAUAUGUAAAUACCAUGUCAUUUUAAAUCCAAGACUUGAGCAUUUGUGGAUUUUGGUAUCCAAGGGAGGUCUUGGAACCAAGGCCCCACAGAUAUUGAGGGACCACUGCACAUGGAAGAGAAUGUGGAAGAGA